rnacentral:rRNA from 1 species
AACCGUGCAAAGGUAGCGUAAUCACUUGUCUCUUAAAUAGAGACUAGUAUGAAAGGUUAAAUGAGGGCCUAACUGUCUCUUGCGAUUAAUCAAUGAAACUGAUCUUUCAGUACAAAAGCUGGAAUACACACAUAAGACGAGAAGACCCUGUGGAGCUUUAAGCAACAUACUACCCCACCACUCACACUGGCCCUCCGGCCAGGAUAAACUUCUACAUAGUACUAGCUUUAAGUUGGGGCGACUGCGGAGAAAAACAAAACCUCCAUGAAACUCACUGCUACCGCAAAACACACAUGUUACCCAGUACACAAAUGACCCAGCACAGCUGAUUACCGAACCAAGUUACCCCAGGGAUAACAGCGCCAUCCCCUUCAAGAGUCCAUAUCGCCAAGGGGGCUUACGACCUCGAUGUUGGAUCAGGACACCUAGAUGGUGCAGCCGCUAUCAAAAGUUCGUUUGUUCAACGAUUAAUGUCCUACGUGAU